rnacentral:misc_RNA from 1 species
AACCUAGCACACCUGCGGUGUGUACCUGCGGAGGGAUCAUUACCGAGUUUACAACUCCCAAACCCCUGUGAACAUACCUAUAAUUUGCCUCGGCGGACUCAACGACGGUGCUCCGAGAAAUCGGGCGCCGCUCGCUGCCAGAGGAACCCCAAACUCUAUGUAUUCUUGUGGAUCUUCUGAGUAAAACAAAACAAAUAAAUCAAAACUUUUAGCAACGGAUCUCAGAUCGGAAGAGCACAC